rnacentral:lncRNA from 1 species
CUGCCCCAACUCUUCGCGGCCUUGUCCGGCCUGGUGGCGGGGGGAGGCUGAGCUGGAGCCCUGUUACCUCUUCAGAAGCCAGACACCAAAGAGAACAAGAAAUUCCUGGAUUUACAUCUUAAGGUGAUGUUCACAGGUUGAUCUCACUUUUCAAUGGUCAAAACCACUGUAAAUUCUCAGAAAUGGCCAGUUAUUGGCCAGGAGAAAAAACUCCCAUCAGCCUUCAGCAGUUUCAAUUUCCCUAGCUCUGAAAGCCAGUCUUAAAGAUGCAGAACUUAAUAUAUAACAUAAACCAGGUGAUUUGGGAUACCAGUAUCAUAAAAUCACUCCAGGACACUAGGGAAUACUAAGAAAGGAUGUGUGAAGCCAGCAUGUACAGCACCUGAAUGUAGGUAGGAUCCCUGUGCAGGGCAAGAACAAAUUACCUUGUUCUACUGAGCUCCAGACCAGAGACCAAAAUUUUUAGCUAUCAGGAAAGCAAGAAGCAAAAAAUUUACUCAAACAUCCUUAGUCAUUGCACUUUUAUGCAGUAAUGAGUGACAUCAGUCUGUGCUAGAAGUUACUGGGAAAUUUCAGAUUCUAGCUACAAACCACAGUGCCAUGCAAUGUAUGCUUCAUUGUAUCUUUCAGUUCUUAUAAUAUAAAGGGUUAAUGUCCCACUCUGAAAAAAAGCAAUUAUUUUUUUUUCUCCAGUCCUCAAAAUCUUUCCUCCACAAAGCAUCCUCUGUUGGAUCAGGUGUGGAAAAAUUUAUUCCCACAGAAGAGCACAAUGGAAAGAAGGUACUAGAAGCCAAGGAGUAUCAACCUAGCAGCAGAUGGAAUUUACAUUUACAAAUAAAUGUACCUGCCAAAACCUAA